rnacentral:rRNA from 1 species
CAGUCGCCGCGGGAAUACGUAGGGUGCAAGCGUUAAUCGGAAUUACUGGGCGUAAAGCGUGCGCAGGCGGUUAUAUAAGACAGAUGUGAAAUCCCCGGGCUCAACCUGGGAACUGCAUUUGUGACUGUAUAGCUAGAGUACGGCAGAGGGGGAUGGAAUUCCGCGUGUAGCAGUGAAAUGCGUAGAUAUGCGGAGGAACACCGAUGGCGAAGGCAAUCCCCUGGGCCUGUACUGACGCUCAUGCACGAAAGCGUGGGGAGCAAACAGGAUUAGAUACCCCAGUAGUCCCUGUCUCUUAUAC